rnacentral:rRNA from 1 species
GACGAACGCUGGCGGCGUGCUUAACACAUGCAAGUCGAACCGAUAGGCCCUGCUUUUGUGGGGUGCUCGAGUGGCGAACGGGUGAGUAACACGUGAGUAACCUGCCCUUGACUUUGGGAUAACUUCAGGAAACUGGGGCUAAUACCGGAUAGGAGCUCCUGCUGCAUGGUGGGGGUUGGAAAGUUUCGGCGGUUGGGGAUGGACUCGCGGCUUAUCAGCUUGUUGGUGGGGUAGUGGCUUACCAAGGCUUUGACGGGUAGCCGGCCUGAGAGGGUGACCGGCCACAUUGGGACUGAGAUACGGCCCAGACUCCUACGGGAGGCAGCAGUGGGGAAUAUUGCACAAUGGGCGGAAGCCUGAUGCAGCAACGCCGCGUGCGGGAUGACGGCCUUCGGGUUGUAAACCGCUUUCGCCUGUGACGAAGCGUGAGUGACGGUAAUGGGUAAAGAAGCACCGGCUAACUACGUG